rnacentral:rRNA from 1 species
GUGCCAGCAGCCGCGGUAAGACGAACCGAGCAAACGUUAUUCGGAAUCACUGGGCUUAAAGGGCGCGUAGGCGGGUCAGCAAGUCAGGGGUGAAAGCCCCCAGCUCAACUGGGGAAGUGCCUUUGAUACUGCUGAUCUCGAGGGAGGUAGGGGCGUGCGGAACUUCCGGUGGAGCGGUGAAAUGCGUAGAUAUCGGAAGGAACACCGGUGGCGAAAGCGGCGCGCUGGACCUCUUCUGACGCUGAGGCGCGAAAGCCAGGGGAGCAAACGGGAUUAGAAACCCGCGUAGUCC